UACAGGGGGUGCAAACGUUGCUCGGAAUCAUUGGGCGUAAAGCGCACGUAGGCGGUCUGUUAUGUCGGAUGUGAAAGCCCUUGGCUCAACUGAGGAAGUGCAUCCGAAACUGGCAGGCUAGAGUACUAAAGAGGAUCGCGGAAUUCCCGGUGUAGAGGUGAAAUUCGUAGAUAUUGGGAAGAACACCGGUGGCGAAGGCGGCGACCUGGUCCAUUACUGACGCUGAGGCGCGACAGCGUGGGGAGCAAACAGG
rnacentral:rRNA from 1 species